GGACUAGUCUGCGAGGGCGGCGACCAGCCCGGCUUAUUUAAAAGGGGUGGGGACCCGACAAGCGCUGGGAGACGCAGCCACUGCGGGCCGAGAGCGCGGCCGGAGCUCCUCCUCCUUCCGUCGCCGCCUCCAGACUGAAGGCCGCUAGCCGGCUCCUGCCAACCGGAACGCGUCCCGAGGUCACCUGGUGACGGGCAGCCAAUCAGACUCGGACUUCCCUCCACGCGCCCGCCUACGGCCCAGGCACGUGACUCACAAAGCCCCGCCCCAUCCCUCAAGCCGCGCGGCGCGGACUCGGGUUUCCAUUCAUCUUGGGCAGCCGGGGAGCCGGGGGUCCCGGGGGUGAGCUGCGACAGUUCGCUGCUCGAGGCUGCGCUUCGAGGCGGGCUCCGAGGGCCAGGUUUGGUGGAGAGCUGGUUCUGUCAGCAGCCGGGCUUCUCCAUGUCUGACAGCUUCCCUUUGCUCACCCAAAGUCACUGCUCACUGAACCCAUGGAGGCAGACGCCACAGAUACAGAGGACUAAUGUCACUUCCCUCAGAUGUGGAUAAAUUGAAGAGAUAUUUGAGCAAAAUCCGUGGAGCUCAACUCUAAACAGCAAAGACACCAGUCUAAAAUUACAGAGGAAGAAGAGGAGCUAUGGUCAGCUUCAUUCCUUAUUGGAAAAACCCUUCAAAGCCAGAGCAACCUAGGAUCUGUGUUUGAGCAAAUGAGGACUCCUACAGAGAAAGAAGCCAUUGUAGAAGAGUGUCCUAAAUGAGAUUAUCAUUGCGGCUUCUAACUAGCAACUGCUAUGUGGGCACACACUGAGUGCAAACUAAUAUCCAUGACAGUCACCUGUAAUGGUGAUAGGUCAGAGUCUCAGGCAAACCUCCCCUGGGCCAGCAACAUGCUAAACGCAUUAUAUAAAGGUAGUAGAAUGAUGGUGUCA